ensembl:lncRNA
CUUCGAUAGUACUGUAGAUUUCAUUACUGACAAGUGUAGUGGAAUUCCAGGGUCACAGCCUGAACCAAUGGGUGGGCUAUGUGAGUGUGUGAGUGCCUGGAACGGAGGGUGGUGGUCUGGAGCCACCCCUUCUGUCUCUGCAAUACUUCCUGUGCAGUCUGAGUCUGCGCGGGUCCCUCUCUUUGCCCCCGCCCUUCUCUCCGGUGGCGCGACGGUACAAAUGGGGGAGGGACACAUUCCUCAGCUUGUCUCUCUCUGCGCACUGUUACCGGGAGGGGCAUUGAAAAUGUAUCUGUUCUCUGUAGCUGCUUGGGGAAGUGUAACCAGCAUAAGCAUACUGGACAAAUUUGGGUUGUUGAAGACAAAGGUCUGCAUAUCUGGAGACUCAAGCAUGCACCGGGAACCUCACCUUACUUCAGUGCUAUUUGCAGGAAUGAUAUAGCUCGUGCAAGGGCAAGCUGGUUUGGAUAUUCAUCUGUCUCAACAUGUACAGCAUGUCUCUGUGCAAAGUUUUGAAGAUAACUUAUUGAACAAAAUCACUUAAAUGGAAAUGAAUAAAACCUUCUUCUUGUAAAAGAUAACAAAGAAGGCAAAGUGCACUUCAGGAAAACAACUUGCAGAAAAACUAUAACAGAUGUAACUAAGAUAUUCUUUUCAUUCUGUGUCUGUCAAAAGUAUUGCCAAGGUUUUCAAUAUUUUCAGUUCAUUAAAUAAAACGAUUAUGAUCUCACCCUAUUUCUUUCAAUUCCCCAUGAAACUAAAAGUCUAAAAGAGAAGAAAAAAUAAAUAAAAGACUGAUAAAAGAUCAAAACAGUGAUAUAUACUUACAGAAGGAACAGUAAACAGUAAAAGCUAUAUGGGUCAGAAAAUGUACCAACAUGACUAGGUCAAGAAGUAGCCAUUAAAUUUGCACCUGGAUAUGUUGUGGUUUGAGAGGAUUCAGUGUAGGCAGGCUACAUUACUUAGCAUCAGUUUUUCUUAACAUUGUCAUACACUUUGCUUGUGUUUUCAAACACAAUGGCCUGUUUUUAAUUGAUGUAUAUAUAUUUUACACACAGAAUUACUGAAACAAGGGUCAAAGACAGAACAUAAAAUCCUCUAAGCAAGGUUCUCCCACUGAUCAUUGCUGAAAGUAAAAAAGUGAAAAGAUCUAGGUUAUCUUUGCCUACACCAGUGUUAUUCAGUACCAAUGCCUCAGACAUGAUGCUUACAUGUGAAACACCUUUGCUAAUUUUGCUUUGCUCCUUUGUCAUUUGUAUUGUAAUUAAUUUUUUUUAAUGUAUCUGUAGGUAUCAAUUUCAUAUAACAGAAAAUGCAAAGUUAUCACUUUACUUAUUGUCUGCAUACCAUCUUUUCUCUGUCUUACUUUUUUUUCCUGACCCUCUCCUGAAAUAAAUUUUCUUGACAUUUCUGUCUUUGCUUUAUAAAUAAUUGUUGAUGGUUCAGCUCUUUUCCUGAAG